UACGAAAGGUGCGAGCGUUAAUCGGAAUUACUGGGCGUAAAGCGUGCGUAGGCGGCUAUUUAAGUCGGAUGUGAAAGCCCCGGGCUCAACCUGGGAGGUGCAUCCGAUACUGGGUAGCUAGAGUGUAGUAGAGGGAGGUGGAAUUUCCGGUGUAGCGGUGAAAUGCGUAGAGAUCGGAAGGAACACCAGUGGCGAAGGCGGCCUCCUGGACUAACACUGACGCUGAGGUACGAAAGCGUGGGGAUCAAACAGG
rnacentral:rRNA from 1 species